rnacentral:pre_miRNA from 1 species
GUGCUGCGGGGCGACCAUGGCUGUAGACUGUUACCUCCGGUUCCCACAGUAACAAUCGAAAGCCACGGUUGCCCUGGAGACGCG